GAGAAGCGAGCUCAGCCACAGGCCACAGCCUCACUCAUGCGUUCACAAUCACACCUGCUGUUUUUCUUCUCCAGUUCACCUCGCGCGCGUGACAACUAGGGAGCCCGCCGCCGCCCAGGUCUUCGUCGAACCCUUUGCCGGCAACGAGAACCCGCCACGCCAGCUCCGUAAUUGUGGCGAUGGUUGCUCCUACGGGAUCUUGAAUUCUUGACACACACACACACCGAUGGUAAUGGUGAUGGAGGGAGGAAGGACGGAAGGCGACGAGCUGAUUGCUGAUUAUGUGGAUUGCCUUAUGUCUCUGGACACCAACACCCGGCCUGUCCACAGCGAUGGUCUCAUCCUCGGUGCUCCAGGCGGGGGAGGAGGGACGGUCGAUGCCGGAACUGAGCCAGAUGCCAUGAGAGAUAUCCCCUCAUCCGAGGACCCCAAUGAGCCCGUGCUCGGCAUGACGUUUGAGUCCGAUGAGGCCGCCAAGGCAUUCUACAACGACUAUGCCAGGCGGCUUGGCUUCCCCUUCCGCGUCGGCAGGUCUCGGCGGUCGAAGGGCACAGAGGAGGUUGUCGUCAUGAAGAGGUUCGUUUGCUCCAGGGAAGGGGUGUACAAGAAGAAACAGACCUCGCCGGAUGAGGCGGCAAGGAAGCGUGAGAGGAUGUCUAUGCGAGAGGGUUGCAAUGCUAUGAUGGAGGUGGUUAGGGAGGCGGACCAUUGGGUUGUCUCCAAACUUGAGAAGGCUCACAACCAUGAGCUCGGCACUUGUAGCGCCAAGGUUGGGUACCUUCGUGCGAGAAGUUCUCUUGGUGGCUCUGAUAAGGCCACAAUGGUGGGGCCUGACGAGAUGGCGUUUCUUAGGCAGAAUGUCCUGGGGGAAGGAGGAGACGCCCAGGGCCUUCUUGAUUAUCUCAAGAAGAUGCAAGCCAAUGACCCGGCGUUCUGCCAUGCUAUACAGGUUGACAAGAAUGGCUGUGUGGUGAAUGUUUUCUGGGCUGAUGCUAGGGCCAAAGCAGCUUAUCGGCAUUUCGGGGAUGCUAUAACGUUCGACACGACGUACAAGAAGAACAAGCAUAUGAUGCCCUUUGUUACUUUCUCGGGAGUCAACCAUCAUCUGCAGACUGUUAUUUUUGGAUGUGCAUUGCUUAUGGAAGAGACUGAGUUCUCGUUUAUAUGGCUAUUUGAAACAUGGUUAGCGGCAAUGGGAGGUAAGGCACCAUGCUCAUUGGUCACUGACCAAAACAGGGCCAUGAAGGCUGCAAUUGGGAAGGUUUUUCCGAAUUCCUGUCACCGUUUCUGUAAGUGGAGUAUUCUGAGUAGAACCAAGCAAAAGCUGACCCAUACAUACUCAGAGCAUCCAACCCUAAGAGAUGAGCUUGAGAGCUGUGUGCUUGAGACUGAAACCAUCUCGACAUUCGAAACCACUUGGAUGUCAAUCAUUGAUAGAUAUGACUUGAGAAAGAAUUCAUGGCUUCAAGCAAUAUACAAUAUCCGCCAAAAAUGGGUUCCUUUGUACCUGAUGGAUACAUUCUUUGCAGAAACGUUCCCCACAUGGAAAUUGGAAACCAUGAAUGAUUUCUAUAAGAAAUAUUUCAAUACAAAAACAACGCUUGAAGUUUUUCUUAAUCAGUUCGAUUUGAGCUUGGCAGGCCGAUAUGAGGAUGAGGCAAAAGCAGAUAUGGAUGCCUACUUAAAUAAGGCAACUACAAAAACUGCAUCGCUAAUAGAAAAACAGGCAGCAGGGACCUAUACCAAAGCAGUCUUCAGUAGGUUUCAGGAGGAAUUUACAGAGUCUCUAGGGUUUAUCAUUCAGAAAACCGAAGACGGCUGCAUAAGUAAAUACAGCAUCACAAAAUAUGAAGAUCCAUCAGACACAUUCUGCGUGACUUAUAAUGCUUCCAAUAAGAUGGCAAACUGUAGUUGCAAGUACUUUGAAUUCUCCGGUAUUCUGUGCCGCCAUAUUCUUGGAGUAUACAUAAUAGUUGAUCCACGAACACUUCCAACUGAAUAUUUUAUGAAACGUUGGACAAGGAAGGCAAGAGAUGAUGAUGCUUUGUUAGAAGAUAAUAACAACAAUACUCAUGAUGAGGAUGCUUCUCAGUCCACCACAAGCCGCUACAAUACCCUAUGUGCUGAUGCCAUCAGAUGUGCUGAGAAAGGAGCUGGAUCGGAGGCAGUAUAUAAGGCAGCAAAAGAUAUCUUACAGAAGGCAUAUGAAGAGAUUAUUGCUUAUGAAAGAAAUACUGGCCAGGGAUCUCAAAGGGAUGUUAUAAACAUCAACGAGGAUGUCACGAUUGAUGAUGCAAUGAAUGAUAAAUCUAUGCCAGAUUCUGGACGAAAGGUGACUAAUCUACUAGGCCAAUUUGUUAAUUCCACUUGGUCUCCGGUCUAAUCCACGUUUUUGUCAUCUCUUUGGAGAUGAAAAUGUGAUUUAGCAGCAUUAGCAGCUGUCAUGAUCGUCAUGCAAUAUCUAUUUUGGAUUGGGUAGCAGCGAACAACUCAACAACACUUGGACAUUUCAACAUGAAAUGAUCUCCAUGAGAAGAAUGUCCGCCUGACUUCAGUAGACCAGGACAAUUUAGUUUGAAGAUGCUGGAUCAUUUCUGUGAUGAUUAAGUCUUUGUCACUUCAAUAAGCGUCCUGUAUGGUGUUGCCUGUAGCCCUGUAUGGCCGAAGCUACUAAAGGUAAUUAGGGUUUGAUAAAGUUAAAGCAACCGAGUCCCAAACUUUUGAUCUUGAUUCGUGCAAACGGGGACGAUGCAACACAUUUUCAAGGUAUUCUGGACCUUUAUGAAGCAUGCUCUGGGCAGGUCAUCAACAAAGACAAGUCUUCUGUUCACUAAAAAUACGAGAAGUGAGACGAAGAUGGCGGUCAUGCAAGCUCUAAAUUUAACACAAGGGACUUUCAACGACAGAUAUCUGGGCUUACCAGUUCGCUUUGGGCAGUCCAGGACAAAAACUUCUUAGUACUUAAAUGAUAAUGUGACAACGUAUUCAAGGUUGGAAAGAAAAGCUGCUGUCAAAAGCCAGUAAAUAAGUGCUGAUAAAGGCCGUAGCACAAGGAAUUCCAACAUAUGCUAUGGGAUGCUUUGACUUAAGGAAGACUUGUCUGCUCAAAUCAGCAAUGCCAUAUUCAGAUAUUGGUGGAGUCAACAGGACAUGGGAAACAAAGUGCAUUGGGUGAAUUGGGCUAAAAUGAAAACGCUAAGGGCUUGUUCGUUUCACGGUUAGUCCAUGUGGAUUGGUUAGUCCAUGUGGAUUGGGUGGUAUUGAGUCGGUUUAAAUCCAUAACAAAUCAAAAUCCAUUCCAAUACACUUCAGUCCACAUGAAACUGGAAUAAUCGAACAAGGUCUAAAGAGUUGUGAUGGAAUGGAGUUUAGAGAUAUCGUAGUAUGUUCUUUUAUAAACUUAGUCAAAACUAAACAAGUUCAACUUCAACUUAUAAUGAAAUUAAAUAGACGAAUAAGUACAUUGCUAAUGCUGGUCUUCAGAGAGUGCGAUGGUUUGUUUCAUAUGAUUCACUAUGAUGCUUGUAUCAUAUAUAAUUAAUUCAUGUUCCGCAUUCAGUGACAGAUUAUUGGGAUGAUGCCACAAACU